CGGGCAAAUCUUGUUCAGAGGGACCGCAGGCAGCAGAGGUUUUCAGCAUGACUGUGCCCCAGGAGGCUGGGGGAGGGACAGAGCAGAGGCGGCAGCAGGUCCUCUACAUGCCCACUGGCUCAGCGAGAUGGGCCGAAGGAGGAGGGGAGCCCCCUCUUCCACACAGACCUAUGAGCCGAGAACCCCAGCAGCCAGUCACACACGCUCCCUGGGCACAAGACAGGACAGACCCAGACUGAGUAACCAUCGGGGAUGAGCGGGGAGGAAACGCGAUGUGCCCCUCCUGCUCUGCCUGCUGCUGGAGUGAACCAGGCCAGAUCAGGAAGCUUCUCUGUGCCUCCAGGACUCCAGAAUGUUCCCCUCUACUUCCCCCAGUGCCCACUCAGUUCCCUCCCACCACGGCAGCACCUGGGGCCCCCCUCCGCCCAGCUCUGUCCUCCAGGAUGCCCUUAUGUCCACCCACUCUGUCACCUUGUCCCUGGCCUCCUCAAUUUGGGGUCUCUCCAGAGAGCAUCACUGGACACUGCUGCCAUGACCGGCGAGCCCAGCUGUCUGCACCCGAGGGCAGCAGGGUUGCGGUGCUUCUCUGUCUCCCCACCCCCACCCUUGUCAUCCCACACUCCAUUUCCUGACUGACUACCUCAAAAUCUGGACAGAAGGCAGAGACAACUCCCACUCUGCAUAGAACUAUAGGAGCCCAGAUCCGGCACCACCGCUAAUAGGACAGAGGAGUCCCAACACAUAGACAUAUGAUACAGAUGGCUGACUGUGGCAGAGCUGGGAAGAUUCUUGGCUCCCAAGUACCAGCUGGGCAAUCCCAGGCAGGUAAUGUAACCUCUCUAACCUUCUGUUGUCCCUAUCAGCAAUGUAAAGCAUUUCACUUGUGGUAUAGAGCAUGUGUUCAACAAAGGCAGCUGUGGUUGGGAUUUCCAGAGGCAAGAGGGGGCUUUGUGGGGGUCAAAUGAUCAGGGAAUAUGGGCAGGCAGCAGGAAGUGCAGCAUCCUGGGCUAGGACGGGUGGCAGGGACAGCCACGGGGAGCAGGACUGGGUAGACUGGGUAGACUGGGGCAGAGCGCGCUCUCUGGGGCUCAGCCUCCACUGCCAAGGCCCAGGCCUCCCUUUUGACCAGAGCAGCUCCUCUAGGUCAUUUCUGGCACCCACGACAACUGGCUAGAAGGGUGCUCCCCAGGCACUGGGAGGUGGUCUGUGAGCAGCAACAACUUGGGGGUUAUCCGGGGAGGCUUGUUACCUCUUUUCUCGGUGGAGAGCAGACUCCAUGCACACCACCACCCUCCCUCGUGCUCUCACACGCUUGUGACACAUGAUGUGCAGCUGCCUCCAGCACUGUCACAAGUACCCUGCUGUGGGGAGGAAAGGGCAGAAAGCCUGAUUCCAAAAAUCUAACUUGUCCUGGCUCCCCUUGAAGAGAGGCAAAGAAAAGGCAGAGACUUGGUAUCAAAAGAUCUUUGGCACUAGGCAGCGAGAUGGAAUCAGAGCGUGUGUGAUUUCCACAGAGAGGUGAGAGCCCUAGACUUAGGCAGCCCUGGGCAGAUGUCUUUGAAGGGGCUGACACCUGUUGGUGGGGACACAGUUGUAUGGCAUUUCAGAGCCGUGUCCUGUUGUGUUGACACGAAGGGAGCUGGAGUCAACUCAGUUUCCUGGGGACAUCCAGGAAGCAGAAACUGGCAGGCUCGUGGGAUCUUUGAGCUUGGGCAUGGAUAUUACUACAAACUUUGCAGAAGCAGGUGGCAUUUUGUCUAGAGUGGAGUGCACGACGGAGAUUUUCAUGGUGAUGUUUAUGGCUGAGUCCCAGGUGCUAAUAAUAACGGCCAUGCCGGGGCUAACAGUGGUGCCCAUGCUCUGGGUGCCUCUCUGCUCCUGGGCCAUGAUGGACCCUUUUCCCUGCACAGCUUCCUUCCCAUUAGUGCCAGAAGCCGCUUUCUUCUCCGCGGUGACACAGAGCAGGGUGCUGGGACUCAGACAGAGGAAGAGAUGGUGUCAAGGCAGUGAUGAGUCUUCCCACCUCCAGGGAGGAGUCUCAUUGUGUGGGGGACAGCAAAUGGCAUAACAAUGCCUGCCGCCAGGAGCAGCAGUCUCGGUGUCAACCCACUCCAUGGUUGGCGGGUGUCGCCAAGGAAGACACGACUCACGCAGACACUGGAUGGAACAAGGCUGAACUCAGAAAAGAGGCAGAACAAGGUGGGCUUUGAGAGUGUGUAUCCUUGCCCCGUCCAUGGCUAGAGGCCUCAGCCUGCAGCCAACGCAAGGUGAUAGUCUGCACCACCCCUCUCUGGUUGCAGGUAAAGGAUCCCCUCUCCCCUCUCCUGUCACAGGCACAGCAGAGGACUUGGCUAGGUGCCAGGUGACACAUAUGCUUAAGCAGAACAAAGGCACACAAGCCGAG
rnacentral:lncRNA from 1 species